UACGAAGGGGGCUAGCGUUGCUCGGAAUCACUGGGCGUAAAGGGUGCGUAGGCGGGUCUUUAAGUCAGGGGUGAAAUCCUGGAGCUCAACUCCAGAACUGCCUUUGAUACUGGAGAGCUUGAGUCCGGGAGAGGUGAGUGGAACUCCGAGUGUAGAGGUGAAAUUCGUAGAUAUUCGCAAGAACACCAGUGGCGAAGGCGGCUCACUGGCCCGGUACUGACGCUGAGGCACGAAAGCGUGGGGAGCAAACAGG
rnacentral:rRNA from 1 species